GCGAAGUUUGCGCACGAACUUCACGUAACGGAAUGUCGAGUUCAAAACGCGCGAUGUCUGGAAGUAAACGCUUGUUUAUUGGAGAGGGGAAUGAAAAACUUGUAUGAUGGUUGCAGCGCUCCUGACGGACAUUAGCGGAACUAACAUUCCAUACAAAUAUGCACAGUCGUCGCUAACGAGUCAACGAGAGCAGUCGUGUUAGACAGAGUAUAAAGAUCAAUUAACGACCAAUAAAAAUUUUAGAAAAGAAA